rnacentral:lncRNA from 1 species
AUAUUGAAUGCCAGCCUAGACUGCUCCCAACAUUUUAAUAGUUGCUAGUACGCUAGUUGCUAUCUGCCGUCACGAAGUUCCUGCAUUGAUCAAAGAUCUUUCUGCUGAUCCAUCUCUGUGAAUGUGAUAUGAUUGCGCCGGAUUGCUGUUGUUUGUUUUGGUCUAGAUUUGGAGUUUUGAUUAUUUGUUGUGGUUGAAAUGUUGGGAACAAAGUUUGGGAUUUAUGAGUUAUGGAAAAUGCUUUAAAACCCAGUUUUUAUCAUUGAAAUUUGACGAUAUGGGGUGGAGCCAGCGUAUCUUUAUUUGAUUGUAUGAGAUUUCACUUGUUGUUUGUAUGAUUGAAUCUCUAGGUUGUGUUUUCUUGUUUUCAGAUUGCAGGUAACUCUAGUAUUUCCAAUGGUAGUGUUGAUAUUGUGCAAUUAAAACAAAUCUUUGGUGUGUAUAAUCCUUUUAUAAGUGAAUGGUGCAUGGUUUUUAUGUGAUGGGUUGCUAAGUUUCUGCGGUUUUGGUCGUUUGGUAGUGGCAUUCGGUGUUAAUAGUGUUUUAAAUACUAAGUAUAUUGUUUAUGGAUGCCGGCAUUUCCUUUCUAUGAGAGGUUUUAUGAUGUUUGGCAUUAAUUUUUGCCUUGAGUUUAGUUAGCUUGUUCCCAUCUUGGUUAGCUGUUCUGUUAUUCAUAUGCGUGGCUGCGUGUUCUCUACUGAUAGCAAGAGUCCAUGUAAUCCCUCUGCAGUUAAUUUCCCCGUCUUCCAUUUUGAUUGUUGAAGAGAGUCUCUGACACGCCCCGAUUCCGAUAUCCUCGGGACAUCGGGAUGGUCAUGUGCUGGCCGACACCCGAGGGUGACGAAAGCCAUUUAUUGAGUGCAAUUGCUGAAAAUAAAGGAUAGAUAAAACUUAUAAAUGUAAAAUAAUAAGGAAUAUGCAUUUAAGGAACGUGUUCAGAGCAUACGACUAACUAGAAUACUAAAAGAAAUAAUAUAAAAUUGAAUGAAUAAAAUAAUGGGUCCCACACCAAGAGGACUCGAAGAUGCUGAUGCGGAAGUGCCUUGAUGCCGGAAUUGUAUGCCUCGAUUCUAAGUCCUGAAGGGGGCGCAAAACAAACAUGAGUAGACCAAGUUGAUAUAUAUAUAUAUAUAUAUAUAUAUAUAAUAAAACAGUUAUUAACGUACUAACCCCCAGGUUUUAUGAAAACACAUAGAUAAUGUUAAACAUAGGUUUUCCGAAACCUAGCAUGUCGUGCAAUGUCUCAAAUCAUAACUCAUAUAUAAUAAUCACUAGUGAAUUGUCCGAUAACCCCCAGGCCCCAUGCCGGCUCCCCGUCUCUGAGCAGACAGUCAGAGGAAAAUACAUUUCAGGCCCCAUGCCGGCUCCCUGUUCCUGUGCUAAAUAGCCAGAGGAAACACACUCCAGGCCCUAUGCCAACACCAAACCGUCGCCUGGGACGGACCGGAAUCUAUCCCUACAUCCCGUAGCGGAAAGGACCACUAGGUAAGUACAAAACCAUUGAACAUAUAUAUAUUGAAAAACAACUUUAUAGUAUAAAGUCAUCCAUCAUCUAUACUAUAAAGAGGUGUUCGAAACAUGUUCUAAAUAUCAUAUCGUCAUCCAUCAGAUAUUCUAUAAGAACACGGGUUAUAGGAAAAAUAGUAAUAAUUCAAAGUAGCCUCAGUAAGCAUGUUAUCUCACAAAACGUUUCAUAAAACGUAAUCAUCAAAUCAUGCUUUUCAUGUAUGCAUUUCUACUAUAAAACAUGCAUUUUAGAAGGUGUCCACUCACAGUACUUAGCCGCCGAAGAGCCACGCAAACUAACGAACAAGAAAACGUCACCAAUAAUUGCCCCUAAGCACGUAAAGGGUCCAAUUAAUAAAACUCUAUUUUAACAAUUGAAUUUGGGAAAACAGACGUUGGAAACAGAUUCAGAACGUCAAAUUACCCUAAGAAGGCUCCCGAAUAAAUUAUGUAAAAGUCAAUAGAAUAUUCCUAGAAUAUUCCCUGACGGAAUAUUCCCUAACGAAAUAUUCCCCAAAAAGGGUUUGAACCGGUUAAGGUUUAGGUUUAGGUUAAAGGGUUAAUGGGUUUAGGCUAAUGGGUUAGGGAAUUAGGUUGAUAAAAAGCCUAGGAUAAAUAUUUGGGUUUAAGGUUUUUAAACUAAAAGGGUUUUUGGCUUUAGGGAAUUGGGAUUAGGAUUUUAAGGAAAUGGGCUUAAAGCCCGGCCCCAAGGCCAAGGGCCUAAGGCCAUCUCUAACCGAGGGCUGGCCAGAGGGCUCGUUUUAGCCCUCUGGCCCUCCAAGAUUCUCCAAGAUAUUAAUAUUUUAAUGAACAGUACAUGAUCAUAUUUGCCUCCGUCUCCAACCGAGGGCCAAAGGGCCAGAGGGCUCGUUUUAGCCCUGUCACAAAAAACCGUCUCCAACCGAGGGCCAAAGGGCCAUAGGGCCAAACAUAAUUUAUUAUUUAAAAACUACAACUAAAAUGUUGUUUAAGUUUCAUGUUGUAUAAUUUUUAUGUUGGUUAAUGUUAUUUAAUGUUGUUUCAUAUUGUUUAAUGUUGUUUCAUGUUACUUAAUUUAAUUUAAUGUUGUAUAAUGGCUUAGGAAGUUAUAGGAAAAAAAUAGAAUUUAAAAUAAAUAUGAAACAAAUUUUGUCAAAUAGAAGUUAUAGGAAAAAAAAUGGAAUUUAAAAAAAAAAAUAUGAAACAAAUUUUGUGAAAUAGAAGUUAUAGGAAAAAAAUGGAAUUUAAAAAAAAAUAUGAACCAAAUUUUGUGAAAUAGAAGUUAUAGGAAAAAAUAGAAGUUAAAUGAAAAAUUUUGUAAAUAAAAAAUAAUAAUAAUAGUGUAAAAAAAAAAAUCAAAUCAAAUGCAACGGCUAGUAGCCGUUUCAUUUGAAUUUAAAAAAAAAAUCCUGUCGGUUAUAACCGACAGGAAUACACUAUUAUUUAGUAUAUUAAAUAAUAACAUGUAUUCCUGUCGAUUAUAACCGACAGGAAUAACAAAACUAUAAAAAAAAAUAGCCAGCCCGGGGCUGGCUGGCUGGCCGGAAGCAGCCAACCCUUUGGCCCUUUGAAAUUCCGUGGGGCCCUCCCAGAUUCUCGAGCCCUCUGGCCUAACCCUCGGUUGGAGACGGUUUUAGAGCUAUUUUCGGCCCUCUGGCACUCUGGACCAUUCGGUUGGAGAUGGCCUAAGGGAGAGAGAGACAGCAUGAAGGCUUUAAGCCUUUAAAGGCUUAGGUCUUUGGGGCUUCAACACAAACGGCCCAAAGGGCCAUUAACUUAAAACAAUUUAAUAAAACCAAAAAAAUAAGAAAACAGAAAUGGGUUUGGGUUGGGCUCCGCAGGAAAGGCCCAAAGAGCCUGGGUUUGGUGGGUCGCCGGACCCAAUGGGAGAGAGAGCCAGAAAUCGGCCGGAAAAUGCACAACCUUUAAACGGCCAUAACUUUAUCACUACUCAACGAAAUUAAGCGAGACAAAAACGAAAGUUGUAGCCCUUGAAGAGACGAAGAGAAUGGUACCUCACACGACAUCUAAAUCGCCGUGGUUUUGCCGGAAAAUACCUCGAAAGCCUCGGAGGUCGCCGGAAACUGGGUAAGAUUCAAAUGAGUAUAACGUCUUCAAUACUCAACGAAAUUGAGUGAAACAAAAAGGAAAAUUAUAGUACUCGAUGAGACGAAGAGAUUGAUACCUUGAACGCCGGCCAACUAGCAGUGGUUUGGCUGAAAUUAUCUCGAAAGUGACGGUGCUCGCCGGAAAAUUUGGAAAAGCUUUCCCGAGCUAUUUUCUGUAAUUCAAACGUAUACACAACUUAAAACAAGCUUCAAUCUAACCCUAAAACACAUCCCAAGGGUUUUUAGAAGCUUACCAACGUUGAAAAAUCCAGAAACUCAUCGGGGAAGACGAUGAACAGUACUGGCCAAAUGGAAGAGAAGGGUUUGGGGUGUUCUUUCUUCAAUUCUAAGCUCACUAGGGUGCUAAUGGAGAUGUUGAUGUUGUUGUGGUGUUGUUUGUUGGUAAGAAAAGCUCUUAGAGGAGCUGAGAUAGAGAGAGCCGAGAGAGAGAGAGUGAUGAGGGAGAGUGAGGGAGAAGAGAGAAAGAGGAAGACUUUCAGAAAAAUAAAAGAAAAAGCAAAGGGCACCGGGGGACAAAACAGGGGGUGGGCCCCUUGGGCACACCAUUUAAGACCCAAAAACCAUUUUAAAAGCAAGAUAGUUUCAAACUUAGUGAAAAUACAAUUUAAAUUAGGGGUGGGUGUAACAGUCUCUGCUGGAGUAUCUGUUGCUACAGCUACCAAGAUUCUAUUUGUCUCCUCCUGCACAGUUAAUCGCCACCUUUUCCACCUCGAAAGCCAUUUGCUGCGUUCAGAUUUGAUUCCCACGUCAAUUGUUCACAAACAUGUCACUUGAAAGUAUAGGCAUUAUUGUUUGGUUCAAUAUGGCCUUCUCACCGUGUUCUAAAGGUCGAUGUGAUUACUUGUUCAUAUGAGUAUUUGAAUUGACCAUAUUUUCGAGUUAACUAUAUCAAAAGUAUUGCAUGUUGUGGCUUGUUUAGGAGGAAGUUUAGCCAGAAUCAGCCCGUAUGUCUACUAAUUCAGUUUAUGACUGAGGUAUUCAAGUUCUGGACAAGAAGAGAACACAAUAGUGUGAGAUGAAGUUUUAGCAUUCCAAGCUCUGGCAACGUCCUUUGACAUGCUCUGAAUUGUGUAAAAUAAGUAAAGAAUGAUAUGUAGGACCUAGAGUGACAUGUAGUGCUUAAUAAAAACAAAAAGGCCAAUUUUGUAUUGAUAUUUGAAAUAAUCAAGAGAUAUGACACUGCAUUUGCUUAUUAUUUUCUUAAAAUGACAAUGUAUCAAAACACCACACACACUCUCUCUCUCAUCAAUGGAACGUAGUAAUGAGGAAUACGGAAAAUAAAUGGAUGAGAUUGAAAAUACAGUUCUGCAAAUCAACUCUAAAGGUUAAAACACGAGUCAUUGAAUGCUAUGUAGUAUUGAAGCCGAACUUCAAAUGCAUAGGUUUUUAGCAAGUGAUUUGAAAAAGGAAGGGGUUCUUUCUUUAUGGAAAUUAUCAUUGGCCACUCCAAAAAAUUUAUUGUGCACCCUUUGUAAGUGUAUUUUUAAAUCUAAAUAUAAAAAGUUUGGACAUUUAAACUUUUGAAGUGCUAAUAACAAUUCAUUUUCUUAUUUGAGUAGUGUUGAUCAUGUCAAUUUUAUCCUUUGCAUUCAACUUUUCCAUUGUAAGUAAAAAUGAGUGUUGAAUUUAAUGGAGCUUCCUACAUUGGGAAAGUGACGCUGAACAUAGACGAGGGACAUACACAGAUACACUCCCAAAAAAGUACACUAAAGAAUGAGUAUAUGGUUCCAAACAGGAUCAUGAAAUACCACUCCCACCUCUUUUGCAUUCAUGACUUUUUGAUUUGUUUAAAAUUAAUUUACGUGUUAUAACAUAAAUAUACGACAAAUUUAGGAGAUCAUUUAAGGCUAAAAGUCACAAGUGGUUCAUGUGGUUUGCGUUUAAGUGUUGCCUUUAAGUUGUGGCCUCAAUUUCGUCACUUAUACCAUUGAGGUUUACUUCUGAUACCAAUUUUGGUCUAUUCUAUUGAUCAAUUUUCGUCAACUAGUGUAACAAGAUGUUCAUGUUGGCUUCACGUGUAGGAGUAUUAUACUUUUCUUGUAUUCAAUUUCACUUAAUCGUUGAAAGGUGCAAGCUCAAGUUUUAGAACACGAUAUUUUGAGUAAGAUUAGGCACUUGCAACCAAGUUUUUUCAAGUGUAUUUUGAGCGAAAUUAGCAUUUACUCCAAUUGGUUAAGUGAGAUUGUACACCAAAAAGAUUAUGCAUGGGCAAUACUUGGUAUGCCAAGUUAAAUUAAUGUUACAAGUAAUCGCAUGUUUGGUUGCUUCUCUAAAAACACUUGGGUUCAUAACCAUUUUUUCAUGAAGCAUGGGCUUCUAUGAGUCAUAAGCGCUUCUAAGUUUUUAUACCAAAUUGUUUGGACCCGAUUUUACACCAUUGGCCCGAGUAAUCGAGGCCGUUGAGUGAGCAUGGUUCUCAACCGUCGGAUGGAAAAAUGAAGAUAUUUUUGCUAAAGGAUAAUAUUAUGGAUUUUAUCAUAAUAAUUAUUUUCUUGGCAUCUUCUUAAACCAGAUAACUAGGAUGCGAUUUAUAUCUCAAAUAGGAGGUAGAUUCUCUGCCCUCCCACUUCCCGUGCCUUCCUGUUUUGUGUGGUCACGGUUAAGCCACGUCAACAUUUUAUAUUAUUUUUUUUAUAGAGAUAAUAAGACAAAAAGGAAUAGUAAUAUAAAAUGUUGACGUAGCUUAACCGUGACCACACAAACAGGAGGGCACUGGAAUGCAGAGAAUCUGCCUCCUCUCAAAUAAAGCAAUAUAGUUUGAAUUGAUUUGGGAUGUCUGACGGCACUUGGAAGCUUAAAAUGAAUUUGAAAUUCAUUUGAUCAGAAUGCAUGCACGACAAUAAAGAUGAUGGCUUUUGGUGAUGAUGUGAGGAUGAGAUGAGAAACCUAGGUAGGCUAGGUUUUUAAUGCAUGGUGAUGGUGUUGUCAGAUUGAGUACAAGGCCAUAAGAAUUGAUGAUGGGAUUGGGCCAUAUAGUCUGCAUGCCGUGUGGACUGGGCUAACUAUAUAUAUAUAUAAUAAUUGGUGGCUAUUUAUUUGUUCAUCUCCAAGCAUGCGGAUUAUUUGGGGAUUUGAUGUGAUAACUGAUAAGACUAAACACAAGGAUCAGAUUUGGUUGUAUUUUUGGCUAAGUUCAGAGUCUUGGGGGGAGUAAGGCUUAUUCGAGGCUCAAAUCAGUGGAAGAGUUCUAAUAACAUGGUAGUCUUUACUAGCUUAUCAACCAGCGCAUACUCAUCCCUAUAAAUACAAGGCUACAAACAACGGAAAAGUCCUCUCCAAAUCAACACACAAACUGCCCUACACAAACUCUAGCUCUACGCGAAACCUCUCAAUAACCUUGAGAUUUUUAUUUUCUUUUUCGCCGACACAUCUUCAGUAUAGAUAAACAGCACUGUGAAGGCUGUUGGGUUUUUUCCAGCCCAUGAUUAAUUGUCCUAAGUCCAUUGGGAAUUAAUAGUCUUAGAGGAUUAAAUUGUUUUCCCAAUUGGAGUUGUUUUCCCAAUUGGAGUUAGUUUCUCAAUUGGAGUAGGAUUCAUAACUAGAUUCCAAUUAGGAUUAAUAAUCCUUAUUGAAGAAGACCUUUAUUAUGUCUAUAUAAGGGGGCUAUUGUACUAGUUUUGAGGGGGGAGCAAAACAAUAAAUUGUAUACCACUCAAGGGAUUAGAGUGAGAUAAUAUUGUAAAGUGUGUGCGAGAGAAAAGAAAAGAGAUAUUGUAUUUCUUGUUCUUGUUCUUUCAGGUUUUUCGUCAAGUCCUAGUUCUAGAGAUUUGGCAAGAUUAUUGGUUGUACUCAUUAUUGAUAUAGUAAAAGAUUGUUGCUGCUGUCCCAUGGACGUAGGCACAUAUUGCCGAACCACGUAAGUUCUUGGUGUUAUUUAUCUUGGUUAUUUGUUUUUCGAUUUCCGGAGUUUGUUCUUGUUUUUCCCAUUCUUAAACGCAAUAUUCUCAACAAGUGGUAUCAGAGCAUGGUUUGUCUGAUAUCUGUUUAGAAUGGAGGGUGCAACCCGCUUUAAUUGGGUUACAUGGAAAUCAAGAGGAGGACAUGCUUUACUGAAGGUGUUAAGAGCAAGCCAACAAGUAUGUUUGAUGCUAAUUGGACCAAGAUGAAGAUAAGCGAUGUUUUCUGGCAAAGAAGUCUAUAAUUUCCUUUGCCAAUGACGAUGGUAGUUUUUAUUAGGGGGAGCCUUGGUCAAGAGAAGUCUAAUCAAGAGGGUCUUGGUUAAUGAGUAGUUCGAUCAGGGGGAGCUUGGUUAUGGGUAAUUCGAUCAAGGGGAGUCUGGUCAUGAAAAGUUCGAUCAAUGGGAGUUUGGUCAAGAUGAGCAAUCCUAUUAUGGUAUACCUUCCUCAUGGUCUGGAGGGGGAGAUUGUUGGAUUUUUUCCAGCCCAUGAUUAGUUGUCCUAAGUCUAUUGGGAAUUAAUAGUCUUAGAGGAUUAAAUUGUUUUCCCAAUUGGAGUUGUUUACCCAAUUAGAGUUAGUUUCUCAAUUGAAGUAGGAUUCAUAACUAGAUUCCAAUUAAGAUUAAUAAUCCUUAGUGAAGAAGACCUUUAUUAUGUCUAUAUAAAAGGGCUAUUGUACUAGUUUUGAGGGGGAGCAAAACAAUAAAUUGUAUACCACUCAAGGGAUUAGAGUGAGAGAAUAUUGUAAAGUGUGUGCGAGAGAAAAGAAAAGAGAUAUUGUAUUUCUUGUUCUUGUUCUUUCAGGUUUUUCGUCAAGUCCUAGUUCUAGAGAUUUGGCAAGAUUAUUGGUUGUACUCAUUAUUGAUAUAGUGAAAGAUUGUUGUUGCUGUCCCGUGGACGUAGGCACAUAUUGCCGAACCACGUAAGUUCUUGGUGUUAUUUAUCUUGGUUAUUUGUUUUUCGAUUUCCGGAGUUUGUUCUUGCUUUUCCCAUUCUUAAACGCGAUAUUCUCAACAAAGGCAACCGACGAACACCUUCAAUUUGGAUAAAUAGCACUGUUGCCGUAUAAUCAACCGACCACGGAGCACCUUUAGUUUGGAUAAACAACAUUGCGUCGAGGCCGACUGGUUAUCUAUCCAAGUCUCGGUCAAGAAGGGUUUUCAAAUCCUUAUUGGCAGAGAUCAUCUCACUAGCCUUCUCGGCGAGGUGAGGUGUUACAAGUUACUGGGCUCGGCACAUUGAACGUCAAGUUGUUUUAUGAUUGGAUAUUUGCAAGUGAGUUUUAGAGUUCGGCAUUUUGACUGUCGAACCACAUUCACCAUCAAGACAUACAUCUCUUUUGAGUACUUGUGUCCGUAUACUCUGGUGUCGAUUCGGCGUGCUUGUACUCUUACGAAUAUAAUCACUGUGACCGAAUCCGGUGCCAAUGAUUUGUGAACUUCGUAGAAAUAGUAGCCUUGUCUUAAGGCUCUAGAACCUAAAGGCCAAGACGUGUUCCUUCCUCGGCCGCAGUCGCAAGAUCGAGCAGCUCGCCCAAUGCCGCAUCCACACAUUUUACUCACCGGCCGAGCUCGACCGUCGAGUUGGCACGCCCCGCACAUAACCAAAUGAUGUAGUUAGCUUAUUAGUUACUCGGCCUACGCGCCACGCAGACUUGGUAGUUUUUAGGAUCAACACAAACACAAUCAGAAAACAUUUUUAUCCCUUCCAACGAUAAUCUCAAAAAAAAUCAUAUCGCGACAAUUUGAAUAAAGCACAUGUUAUAAUAUGGAAUUAUGGAUAGGUCUAAAGAUCAUGCCCAUAUCGAAAAAUUCUCAUUUAUUUGGCAUUUGAAAAAUUACAAUAUUAUAUACUACCGCCCAAUGAUAUAGCUUAUUUUGUUGUGUUAACCACUGAUUAAUAAACAAAUGGUUGACAAAUCUUCUCAUAAAGAAGUUAUAAUUUAAUCUGAAAGACGUGUUCUUUUUUCCAAUUUUUCCAAAAAAAGCACAAUCAAAUGACCGCCCCACUCAAUUUGUUUAAGUGGCUAAGAUAAGAGUGUUCUCGAAACCUACUGAGGAGUGGCACUGGUUGACCUAGCGAUAUAAUUUGGGUUUUAGUGUUGCAAACUGCAUCAUCUUUUCCACUGUGUUUCAAUAUAUAAUUUCCAAAAUUAAAUAAAUAAAAAGAAUACAAGUAAAUUCCAUAACAUCUACAUCUACAUAUAAUUAUAUUUCGUAUUUAUAUUAUAAUCUGCAUGUGUAAUAUAAUAGAGGGAAUCAAUGUCGUGGGAGAAGGGCAAGCAACUGAAAAAGCUUGAGAUGAAAAUAGUUUACAUUCUUCAUUUUAUUAAUUUGUUAUUAAAUUAUCAUUUGAAAAUUACAUCUUAAGACUUAAGUUGUACUGAAAAAUGUUAGGCUUAUGUCAACUAGGGUAUAAUAGUUCCGUCACUAUCGACUAAACCGUCUGAGAAGUGACUAAGGGGAGGGAGGUUGGGUUAAGCCACACAAUAGGCAACCUAAUUUGGUAUCGAAUUCGUCAUCUAUGAGAUUCGAACUUAAUACCUUUCACUUACAAGUGAAGAGGAUUACCACCAGAUUGUAAUUUAGGGUACUUGAAUUAAGUAAAUCAAAAGACAGAGAAAAGUUUGCAACAGAAAAAAAGAAGCAUGUGAAAAUCACUUAAAACGGUUUCACUUGAAUAAUUAUAGCAUAGACUUGCAGAUUUCAUUUUGUCUACUUCGGAUUGUUUUGAGCGAUUUGAGGUGCAUAUGAUUUUAUUCAAACACCCUAACUUGUUAAGAAUUUUUGUUAAUUAAUCGGAAUUUGGUUGUUCGUCUUUUUAUUGUAUCUUGCUUAAUGAUUAUUAAUAAAGUUUUUCUCUUAUGCCGUGGAUCUCUAAAAACAAUUAUAAGUAAUAUAUCUGUUGAACAAAUUAGCUUGUCAAAUACUGUACUAACUUUCCUAAACAUUGUUAGAAAAAAGACGUCCAAAUCUUGUGGAAAAUGAUUCGUAGGCAUAAGGACAGUAAAACAGGUGGUUCAUUUACAAAUUUCGUCAUAACAACAAAUAAUGCUGGAAAAUUAUGAACCAUACAAACAAUGAAGAGAAUUAGGCCAACACAACAAUGGAAGCGUGUCAUGCAGUGCAACAAGCAGCAACAAUUCCAAAUCUUUUUCAUUCGUGUGGGUCACCAAACUUUGUUGUUUUGCUUCAUCUGCAGAUGAACUGUCAACUAUAGGGAGUUUCUGAUUUAGGAGCAAUGAACGGUGACAAUUAUGGGAAAAAUAUACUACAAAAAAUAAUCUACUUAUACGCAAUUUGUCAAUUAGAUUAAUGAUUUUGCUUGAUUAUUUUUCCCUUGAAGUUUAAUAUUAAAAGCCUUGAUUUAAUACUUUGUUGUUUCAAAAUGUUGAAUUUAAAUCUCAAACCUUAGUGGCUAAAUAUGAUGACUUAAUUGUGAAUUUUCUACACUAUCACAUGAUGUUAUUAAUCUCAUAAUACUAUAUUAUAUGUGUGUUUAAUUAUUAUACCAUAGUUUAAGUCCAUCAAAUCUUGAUCACGUUGCUCAAUAAUUUUAUAUACCAUGUAAAAAAAAAAAAAAUCCAAAUGUAACGAUCAAACAAUUCAAAGGUCUAGUGGAAACAAAAUUCCCAAGGUCAAUGGUGGUGGAGUGGUGGCUAAUCCAUCCACAUGGUACACGAAUACACGUAAAAAUGAGCAUUAGAGUCUUGUAGAUUGAAUUUGCCAAUAUGGCUUUGUUUUUACAUGAGUUAUGGAAAACAAUACGACACAGAUGGAUGGUUUGAAACCUAAUAAUUUGAAAUUCAAGGAUCACGAUGCAGACCAAAUUACUGGAUGAGGAUCCCAUCCGGAUCCAAAUGGUGGGGAUCCUAGGGAUCCUCACAUCCUAGUCGUUCAUCAUAUAUCGUGCUGUCAGAAAUCAUUUGAAUUUUAUUAUUUAAAAUUAAACAUAAAUAGUACCUGAUGAAAACUAACCGCACGAUAUACGAUGAACGGCUAGGAUGUAAGGAUCCCUAAGAUCCCCACCAUUUGGAUUCGGAUGGGAUCCUCAUCCCAAAUUAUAGUGUUGGUCGUGCAUGAAUUCAUCGGCCUGAAAUGUAUAGAAGUUAAGGAAAACUAAUGAAAAUGAAUAAAUGGUAAAAUGAAUAGUAUCAUGAUUGACUUUUUAAUGUAAAAAUAUAAUUUUUCAUUAAAAUGUACUAAGAGUUUUUCAUUAAAAUUCCUUGGAAAUUACAUAUUAAUUUGAUUUUGACUGUCACCAACAAAAAGCAGACAUUCAUUCAUAUAUGCAUGUCGGCUUCAAUGCAUGAGAUUCUCGGCUAUGCAUUAUUCUAUACUUUUAUAAAUUUGGUUAUGUGUGAACUAUUUUGGUAUUUUUUAUUGGAAAGGGAUCCUUUCCGAAUCCAUUCCACAUAAUCCACCAAGAUCACAAAUUCGGACUCUUGAAAUUUGAUCCAACGGCUAAAGUUAUUAUAACUUUUUAUGGGCUGUUGGAUCAAAUUUCAAUUGUCUGGAUUUGUGGACUUGUAGGAUUAGAUGGAAGGGAUCCGAGAUCCCUUUCCCUUUUUCUUUAACCUAGAGACGUAUAAAUGAUUUGAUCAUUUAUUUUGAAGAAGUGGACGUUCCACCAUAAAAUGAAUUGGCUAUAGAGAGUACCCGAACCUCAAGCCUUUGCAAGAUUUCUCAUUUCACCGAUAUGAGACUUUUUUACUUUUACAUCCUCACACACCUCCUCAUGUGUGGCGAAUGUUCAAGCCAAACACAUGAAUAACACAAACUGAAUGACGUGGAGCAUGUGUGGCCGUUGUGCUUCACACUUGGGCCAAUUUAGCUCUGUUACUACGAAGAAAGUUGAGAUUUCACUAUAAAACGAAUUGGCUAUGUGGAGUAGCCCAACCUCAAGCCCUUGCAAGAUUUCUCCUUUUCACUGAUGUGUGAAUUUUUUACCUUCACAUUCUCACAUGUUUUUCUUUUAUCAUGUCAUUACUUUUUUUUUUCUUAAUCUCCAUCCCUAAAACAUUUUUAGGGUUGGUUUGAUAGUACCAUUUUCUAAAUAUUUUUUUUUGUUAUAAAAGAAGGGAAUGAAAAAGUACACAAAAAGUAAAUAAAUAAAUAAAUGAAAAAUAAAAAAUUGAAUGUCCGUUUGAUACCAAGUUCGCUUUUAAUUUUAGUUUUUGUGAGAGAGAUACAGAAAAAGUAAAUGGGAGAAAAUGAGAAUGAAAAACGUUUUUGUUUUUGGGUCAAGAGAAUGAAUAACGGUUAGGGAAUGAUGAUAAAAAAAAUGUGUAUGAAUUGAUUCACAAAAUAAAAACUAAAAACCAAGCAAGCUUGUCUUAACUUUCAAAUAUUAGUAUUCACAUAAUCUCUUCUUAAAUCUCCCUCCUCCCUCCCGCCACCUCUCUUUGCCCUUUUCAAUUCCUUAAGUUCUCCCAUAUAUACAUGUUGACCCUAGAAACUACCAAGCCUACGUGGCGCGCAGGCCGAGUAAUCUAUAAGCUAACUACGUCCUUCGGUGAAUGCGGGGCGUGCCAACUCGUCGGCCGAGCUUGGCCGAGGAGUAAAUUUUGUUGAUGUUGCGUUGGGUGCGCGGCUGACUUCUGCGUCUUGCGAUUGCGGCCGAGAAAGGAACACGUCUCGGCCUCUUGGGCUCUCGAACCUGAAGACAAGGUUACUAUUCUUACGAAGUUCAAUAUCAAAUUCGGCUCUCAAUGUGCCGAAUGUAAUAACUGUAACACCUCACUUUGCCGAGAAGGCUGAUGAGAUGACCUCGACCAAAAAGGAUUCAGAAAUCCUUCUCGACCGAGCCUUGGAUAGGUAAUCAACCGUCCUCGCCGUAGUGCUGUUGAUGCCAACGGAAGAUGCUGCGAGAUCGGCUGACUCUACGGUGACAGAGCUAUCUAUGCUGACUUAAGAUAUCACCGGUUGCUUUCACAGUGCUGUUGAUGCCAACGGAAGAUGUGUCAGCGAAAAGAGAAAAUAAAAAUCUCAGUUGUUGAGAGAGUUUGCGCAGGGCAGUUGUGUGUUGAAUUAGAGGUCUUUUGAACGUUGCCGGCGACUCUGUAUUUAUAGUGACGAAUACGCACUGGUUGAUAAGCUGAAAAAGACUCCCAAACAAUUAAAACUCAUCUUAUCGAAUCCAAGAUAAUCUGCAAGCUUGGGUAACGUCCAUCUAAUCAACCACCCAAUAUAUAUAUAUAUAUGGCUGAUAGCUUUUGACACGGCAUACAUGCCAUGUCCAUCAUCAAUUUACUUCAUCCAACAACACCCCUUAGGUCUCCUACCUCAUCCUCACCUCAUCCACAAUAGCCAUCAUCAUUCUGAUCAAACGAAUUUUAAAUUCAUCUUACUUCCCAGUGUUGACAGACAUCCCAAAUCAAUUCGAAUUGUACUGCUUAUUCGGGAUAUGAAUCGCAUUCUAUUUAUCUGGUUUAAGAAGAUACCGAGAUAAUUCAUAUUAAAAGAUAAUUAUAAUAUUAUCCUUUAAUAAUCAAAUUAUCUCUACUUUCUCAUCUAGCGGUCGAGAAUCAUGCCCACUCAACGGCCUCGAUCGCUUGGGCCGAUGAUGUAAAAUCGGGUCCAAACAAUACCUGAUUAUUAUCCAUUAUUUCUCUUAUAUGUAAUGGUUUCAAAAGGGCUUGAACUCUUUUAGGGUUUGUUUGAUAUGAUUUCAUUUUUAGUUUUCUUUUGAUAGAGAUAAAGAUAAUGCAUAUGAAAGAACGAAGAUCGAAGAAGAAUAGAUGAAGGAAAUGAAGGAUAAUGUAGGAAACAAAACCUAAUAAAAUUUGUUUUAGUUUUCGGUUGGUGUAAUCUUUCAUGUACAUUUCUUUUACUUCCUUCCAACCAUUGCUCAUGCAUUUUUUUUCUCCCAUCAAAUUUACUCUCUAUUAUCAAUAAAAUAGUAAAAGCUAUAAACUCAAAACGAAAGGAUUACCCGACGGCGUUCUGGCAUUCUCCCUGUCAAUUUUAUAAUACAAGCGAUAAGGAAAAAUACUCUCACCCACUAAUAUUACAACUCCAUAGGGGACAAAAUUUUAAUUAUUUACUUCCUCAAAUCUAACUUUGACGGAUUUAAUUUGAUCAUUUUACCAAUCUGUCCAUCAAUUUGCAAUAAACAAAAAGGUCGUGUAACCCCUCUGGACGGUUCAAAGUACUUAACCCAUCAAGGGACACAUUGCGAAGUACUUAAACAUUCUCGUUCCUCAGUCCAAGAAAACCAUUCCAAUUUCAUGAUGAGUAGGUCUCUAUAAAUUUUUGAUCAAAUUAUUUUUCAACGGCUCUGAUUUUCUGAUUUACUUACUUGGUAUCCAACUCUGAGUGGACCCAUCAUGGCACUGGGCCCCGGAUUUUGCCCUACAUUACAAAGUGCAGCAUAAACAUCCAAAUAGUUGCCAACCCCUUCUCAUUAGACCAAAUCCAACUCUGGGCUAAAUGCUAUUUUUUAGGUUUUAUUUCCCCUCCCCAAACCCAACCCAAUCCAUGUUAAAUGUGUGGACUAAAAUUAAAAGCCAAAUUUCCUCUAGGAUUUAGCCCAGAAAAUGGUGUGGGCACCACCAGCGGGACCCCACCCACUUGGGCAUGUCUCACAUGAUUUAUUGAAUCCAACGACUGAAAUCGAAUAUAAACAAAUCUAACGGUAAAAAAAAGAUCUAACGGCCCAAAUUAAAUCCAACUGCUAAAAUAAUUAAAAACAUUAUUUAACUCAAAAUUCACCCAAAUUUAGUGAUUUUUCAAUAUUUAUUGGAAUUCAAAUAUUUUUAGAUUAAAAUGCUCAUAAAAUAAAAUUAUGAUAGUGUACAUAUAUUUUUUUAAUUACUUUAAAAUAAAAAAUUAGCCUAAAUUUAUUCUUUAAUAAUCUCAGACUAAAACAUUUAGGUCAGAAGGUUGGAGCAGAAAAACUGUUUCUAGGCUAAAAAUUUUAGGUUUUAGCCCAAGGGUUGAAGAUGGUCUUAUAGAUAUAACUUAAUAUAAUGAUAACAGUAAUAAUUUACACCUUAUUAAAACUAAAUUGGUAAGAAAAAAAAAAGUUUUCUUUUGCAAGUAGCUCUUUACCAUAAUGGUGAAAAUGUGUUCAGCUCUUGCAUGAUGGCAUAUGUUUGUUCCCGUUGAUAGCUAAUUUAACAUUUAAUCUAUUGUUUGACAAAAAAAAAAGUUAGUAAAAUUAGUUGAAUUAAAAAGAAAACGAAAAUGCAAAUCCGCUUGGGUGACGAGUUUAUACCUAAUUAUUAUGAAAUAUAAAUGGCUUAUUGUUCGUGUUUAGUUAAAUUUCUAUGCUUCGAACAUCAUCAUAUCAAAUGAAAAGAAUGAAACACAGGCUGCCAUGUGAUCAAGUUAGUCAAGAAUCCUCUUUUACACUGUAGUUCGAAUUCUCCGUCCUCGCCUUAUUAUUGACCCUAAAUUAAAAUAUCGCUUCGAUAGAAAAGAAAAACCGAAAAUAAAAAUACAUAUCCCACAAAAUGAAAUGAUACAAAUUGAUAAUUGUUUCUGUAUAAGCCAGAAAACUGUGGUAAAAAGCCAAAUACAUUCUUCUGACUGUUAAAUCUCCGCCCUUCCUUCCUUAUCACACCCAUCUCUCUCCAUAUCUUCUAUUGUUCCUUCUCCGCCUUUUUUUUCCUCCUUCAUUCCCCCAUUAUCUUCCAUUGUUCUUCUUCUUCUCCUCGUUAUCCAAAACUCUCAACCUCCAAACUUAGAGAGAGAAACUGAUAUAUAGAGAGAGAAAGAAAGAGCAAGCUUUCCUCCAUAUCUUCUUCUGCAUAAUUAUGGUUUUCUACAUGCAUGGUUAUUAAUUGGUGCAACAAGCUACUCGUUUUCAACACAUAAAAAAAAAAAAAAAAAAAAAAAAGACUUCCUCUUUCUUUCCAAAUACUUGGUAAAUGUUCAAAGUCCUACAAACGUUCAAAGUUUUCAGUGUUUUCUUUAAUUACAUAUUUUUUACUUAAUCUUCACUUUAGCUAUAUAUUUUUGUGCUAACUUUAUAAGUUUAUGGAUUACUAAUUUGUGGUUAGUAUUGCCUUAUGCUUUAAACUUUAUCCUAGUUUUUUACAAUCUUAUUAACAAAGGUUUAAUGAACUAAAUUUCUUCAUAUAUACGUUUAGGAGGGUAAUUAAGCAAAUUCAAGUGCUUAAGCUCAUUCAUUCAAGAACAAGCUGCAAAAAUGGGGCCCAGAAACAGCCGUGGAAAGGGAAAAGGAGACAAGAAGAAGAAAGAAGAGAAGGGUAUUUAUCAUUAUUUUAUAUUUCUUAUUCAAAUUGCUAAAUUCGGUUACUUAAGCACCAAUUGAGAUAACUAAUAAAUCUCUUGUGUCUUUUUUUCUUGCUCUGCAGUUCUUCCUGUUGUUAUGGACAUCACUGUGAAACUUCCUGAUGAAAGCAGUGUCAUUUUGAAGGUUGUUGGAUUAUAAUUUUUUUUUAAUUUAGAAAAAAACUGGAUAAACGCCUAAAUCUUUCUCUCUUUCUUGUUACUUGUAAUCUUUGGAAGACAACCACGUUUUGUUUGUGUUGCUUCUAAUUCACAUGGGAAUUUUGAAGGUUUCUUGCCGUAGUUGAAUUAUCCUAGUUUAAGUUUGAGCAGUGAUAUUGGUUGCCAUCGGCGGAAAGUAAGAAAUUUUUUAAUGGGUUAGGUACCUCAACUCGUCAAAAUUAGAGAAAAAUUUCUCAAAAAAGAUUCAAAAGUUUGAAAUGUGCUGGGACCAUUUGCAAUGGGUUCUAGCAAAUUGUCUGUGGUGAAAAAUAUCAUUGAUGUUCAUUGAAUUUUCUUAUAUCUCACCGAUAAAGGAUGAAGUUUUCAUUUCAUCAUCCUUUCCAUAUUGAUAAUUGAUUUUUCAGAUAUUGACGAAAAUAUAGACAAUUUCGCUGAUAUCUUAAUACUGAGUGUAAGACCAUAUGUUUGGAUUCGAAUAUGUACCAACUACUAAGUCUCCAAACUAAAUACUUUCACCCACUUUCCCAGGAUUGAAGUUAGUUUUUGAGGUCCAGAAUGUAAUGUGUUCAAGGAUAAAAGUUAUAUUACUUUCUAUGGAUUGAUGCAGCAUGUAUUAUAUUUACUGAUUACAUAUUUUAUACAAAAGUUGAUUUACUUAUGCAUUAGGAUAUUACCUAUGUAAAAUAACAAUAUGAUUUUGAGCAGGGAAUAUCGACGGAUAUGAUUAUUGAUGUUCGUCAGCUAUUAUCAGUAAAUACAGACACUUGUAGUAUUACUAAUUUUUCACUAUCUCAUGAGGUAAUUUCCAUUACCCACAUUAUUUCUUCUUCUUUUUCUCAUUUUUAUUAUUUCAAAAUUUUGAUUUUCCCUUUUGUUUGACAAGGAAAUAAACGACCAUAAUGCUAUUGUCGUUCAUGACAGGUAAGAGGGCAUCGAUUAAAGGACGCGGUGGACGUCUCCGCACUCAAGCCAUGCGUCCUGACGUUGGUCGAAGGUAUUAGUCAAAAAGCAUCCGACGUCGUUUGUAUUACUUUUUAUGAUCCAUCUUUAUGGGCCGUAUGAACUGGACCGUUGAGGGCCCAUUGGGCCAGAGUGUCUGAACGUCGUCGUAUUAUGCUUCUUCUUCUUCCUCAGUCAAAUUUCUCACUGUGCUCUGUUUUUCUCAGAGGACUACGAUGAACAGCGCGCCACGGCGCACGUUAGACGAGUGCUCGACAUCGUUGCAUGCACGACGAGCUUCGAAGCGUCGUCUUUGCCGGCGAAGGACCAAAGCCCUAAGCUCGAUGCUUCUUCAACUGGCUCUGGUAAAAAUGCGCCGGGUGUGCAGGAUAAGAGCUUCAAGAAAUCCAACGCCACGGCCGCCGCAGCCAAGGCCACCAAGUCUCAAGUUUCUACCGGAACCGAUAAGCGAGACGUGGCGGUGGACUCCGAGACCGAGAUGAGCAACUCCUGCCUCAAGCUUGGUUCUUUCUACGACUUCUUCUCUCUCUCCCACCUCACACCCCCUUUGCAAUGUACUCUCUCUCCUCCCUCUCUUUCUCUCUACGUAUAUACAUAUUUGUGUAUAAUUGACGUAUUUAUUUGUGUAUUUAGAGGCAGAAAUUUUGAAUUUUUGCAAAAAUUGUGUGUAAAUGGUAUUAAUUUUGCAGUUGUUCGAAGGGCGGCGAAACGGCAAGUCGAUGAGAUUGAGGCGGAUGAUCACCUUUUUUCUCUUGAAGUAAGACCUUCUUCUGCACAGUCCACACGCACACAAUGACAAUUUAUUUAUUUUUGGGUCUGAUCAUCGAAAUACAUUGUUAUAUUGGCAAUUUUUCAGGUGAAGCUUUGCAAUGGGAAGGUGGUUCUCGUUGAAGCUUGCCGAAAGGGGUUUUAUAGCUUAGGGAAGCGGCGGAUUCUGUCACAACCUCGUCGAUUUGCUACGGCAGCUUAGCAGAGCCUUUGACAAUGUUAGAAAAGCUUUUGAGUUUCUGUAGUGAUUUUAAUUUAUUUUAGCUUUUUAUUUGUGUACUGAUUAUGUGUAUGUUUAAUUUCUCAUAUUUCAGGCUUAUGAUGAGCUCUUGAAAGCAUUUUCGGAACGGAAUAAGGUAUAGGAUCAUUCAUUAUGCUUUCUUGUAUGAGUUUGUGUUACCAUUUCUGUAUUUGAUAAUUUGUUUUCUUUGAUAUUUUUCAGUUUGGGAAUCUUCCUUAUGGGUUUAGAGCAAACACGUGGCUCGUACCGCCUGUUUCAGCUCAGUCGCCUUCAGUUUUCCCUGCUCUCCCCGUGGAGGAUGAAACUUGGGGCGGAAAUGGAGGUGGUCUAGGAAGAGAUGGGAAAUUUGAUCUAAUCCCCUGGGCUAAUGAGUUUUGGCAUAUUGCAUCCAUGCCUUGCAAGACAGCUGAGGAGAGGCAGAUUCGUGAUAGGAAGGCAUUCCUUCUUCACAGCCUAUUCGUCGAUGUUUCCAUUUGUAGAGCCAUUAAUGCUGUGCAGCGUGUAAUGGGAAAACCGGAAUUGACUUGUUCAAUUCCAAACAGUGAGAUUCUUUACUCCGAGGUUGUAGGGGACUUGAAUGUCACAGUUAUGAAAGAUGUUACUAAUGCAAGCUUUAAGGUAGAUACUAAAAUUGAUGGAAUUCAAGCAACUGGAGUGGAUAAAACGAAUCUAGCACAACGAAACCUUCUGAAAGGGAUCACUGCAGAUGAAAAUACUGCUGCCCACGUAAGUUAUUUCUGAAAUAGUAUUGUUGAUCCAUAAUCUUUGUCUCUACCUUAUGCAAUUUAUUUCGUAACUUUGGCGCAGUUGUGGUGAUUCUUGUUAAAUUAUGUGUGCAGGAUGUCAACACUCUAGGUGUUGUCAAUGUCAGAUAUUGUGGUUACAUUGCAGUUGUCAAAGUUGAGGGUAAAGAAAAUAAGAAAGUCGGUUCUCCAUCUCAGAGCAUUGUAUUUGUUGAUCAACCCGAAGGUGGUGCCAAUGCCGUUAAUAUCAACAGGUACGCAAUAAUGCCUCAGUGAGUAUUAUGUAAAGCUACCAACCUUUUGUCAUGGAGUUUGCAGUAUACGAGCCUAACUAGUGCCUUGUUCUUUGCAGUUUAAGAUUACUACUUCACAAGACAAUACCUUCAGAGCAGAAUAAACCGGCAUCACAUAUACAAACUCUGGAACACGAAGAUCUUUCAGCCUCGUGUGUUUUUGUUGAGGGGGUGUUAGAAGAAAGUCUUGCUAAGCUUGAGAAAGAGGAGCUAGAUUCUGAUAAUUUUGUGAGAUGGGAACUAGGAGCUUGCUGGAUACAACACUUGCAAGACCAAAAAAAUGCAGACAAAGAUAAGAAACCGUCAAACGAGAAGGGAAAAAAUGAUAUGAAGGUGGAGGGACUUGGGACGCCUCUUAAAUCCCUUAAGAACAGCAAGAAAAAAUCAGAUGGAGGCAAUACCAAGCUGCAAUCUGAAAGCUCAAAAUCCCAUGCAGAUGGUGGUGUUGCGGAAGCUGAAAAUACUAUAUCCCCUUCUGUGGAAUCAAAGCUUGAGACUAAUGCCAAAGAAAAUGAGCAUGUUCUGACAGAGAUAUUGUCUGAUGCUGCCUUUGCUCGACUAAAAGAUUCAGAAACUGGACUACACUGCAAGGUAAUACAUUAUAGGUGUCACUAGAGACUUUAGAUUUACUUAUUUGUACUUCACAUUGUGUACUAAUGUAUUGUGUGCUUGACAGUCUCUGCAAGAACUAAUCAACUUGUCUCAGAAGUACUACUCUGAAGUUGCUCUUCCCAAACUGGUAAACAUUUUUAUUCUUAAAGCUUGUUACCUUUUCUCAUGGAAGUAUUGUUAUGGUGAUUCUUGUUUCUAUAAAUUUUUCGUUUAAUGCAGGUAGCAGAUUUUGGUUCCUUGGAACUUUCACCAGUUGAUGGUCGGACCUUGACUGAUUUCAUGCAUACUAGAGGUCUUCGGAUGCGCUCUCUGGGGCAUGUUGUAAGUUUGCUUCUAACUUUCAUUUUUAACACGUGACACGUCUCAUAUUAUUCAUCUACCUAAGAACCAAUUACUUUUGUGUCCUCAACUUUGCUGGGUAUUUAUGUGGAGGAAUUUGUUAAUGUGGCUUUGAAGUAUGUAAUAGAAGGAACAAAAAAGAACCAAGAUCAUGGCAAUUUUCAGAAGAUCUCGAGUUAUCACUCUGUUUAUUAUGCAUUGAUGACUGUUAGACAGUGUUAACCUGUUACCAUUAUUUAUAGGGCAUCAAAGCUCUAUCUUCUUUUAUCACUUCACUUUUAGAAAAUAUUAACUUGCACUGCCUCUAAUCUCCAAACUGAAACUCUCAGAAUAUUUUGUAAUGCUGUGUAGAUGAUGUGCGGAAUUCAGCUUAAACAGGUUAUCAUAUUGAACGAAAUGCCUUUUCUUUCUUUACAGGUCAAGCUUUCGGAGAAGCUAUCUCAUGUGCAGUCCCUUUGCAUUCAUGAGAUGAUAGUGCGAGCUUUUAAGCACAUACUUCAGGCAGUGAUUGCCGCCGUUGGUAGCACUGAGAAGAUGGCUGUAUCAAUUGCUGCUGCAUUGAAUCUUAUGCUGGGCGUUUUGGAUAAUGAAGAAUUAAAUAGGUCUUGCAGUGUUCAUUCUCUUGUGCGGAAGUGGCUGGAGGUAUUCUUGCGAAAAAGAUACGGAUGGGAUCUUAACAGCUUCAACUAUGAAGAUGUGAGGAGAUUUGCAAUUCUGCGUGGAUUAUGUCACAAGGUAUAUAUCAUGACAAUGCAUAUUAGAUUCUGGAGAUGGCCCACAUUCUUGAAUACCGUCUUCGUAAGUUUACACUGUAACUUUUAUUAUAUACCAUAAUUUUAAAUUUGUGCUGACAUUUUGCUUUCUCUUCCCCCUACCCUCAACUCCACCCCCCAAUUAGGUGGGUGUUGAGAUGGUUCCAAGGGAUUUUGAUAUGGAUUCUCCAAAUCCGUUCCAAAGUUCAGAUAUCGUCAGCCUAGUCCCAGUGCAUAAGGUGACGUAUGGCAUUAGAAGCAUCUGUUUUCCUUUCCUUCGAUUUUUAGAAGUGGUAAGAGUGAUGACAUCUUUUGUAAUUUAACCUUUUCUUCUGAUAUUUUCAGCAAGCUGCUUGCUCUUCAGCAGAUGGUAGGCAACUCCUAGAAUCAUCAAAAACAGCUUUAGAUAAGGGAAAACUUGAAGAUGCAGUUGCAUUUGGCACUAAGGUAUGCAGACUGUUGCUAGAAGGUUUUCUUUCACCUUUUUAUAUUGGUAUUGUAGUUGGUUACAGGCUGAACUUUGACAUUUGCAGGCGCUUGCAAAGCUGGUAGCAGUUUGUGGUCCAUACCAUCGAAUGACAGCCGGAGCUUACAGCCUCCUUGCUGUAGUUUUAUAUCACACUGGAGACUUUAAUCAGGUCUGCUGCCAUCCCCUUUGUUUUGGCGUUUCUGGGACAUAUCUGACGUCAUAUAACUGUUACUUUCUGGAUCAACAUAGAUUUUAAAUUGAGGGAUUGGCUACAUCUGGUUUCAUAUUUCAAUUGUUAAAGGUGGACCGGAAUGUGCAAAAGUGGGCAAAAUAUUGAAAGUUAGUCUUUCUUUGGUAAAGGUUUUAUGUCGCGGAUGACCAAUGAUGUGCUCCCAUUACAGGCU